GUUUGAUGCCGGGCCCCUCUGGCGAACGUGGCGGCACGUUCGUGAUGUCGGCGUUGACCU
rfam:Paracoccus yeei strain FDAARGOS_252, complete genome.